GACGAACGCUGGCGGCGUGCUUAACACAUGCAAGUCGAACGGUAAGGCCCUUCGGGGUACACGAGUGGCGAACGGGUGAGUAACACGUGGGUGAUCUGCCCUGCACUUCGGGAUAAGCAUGGGAAACUGGGUCUAAUACCGGAUAGGACCACUGCCUGCAUGGGUGGUGAUGGAAAGCUUUUGCGGUGUGGGAUGGGCCCGCGGCCUGUCAGCUUGUUGGUGGGGUGAUGGCCUACCAAGGCGACGACGGGUAGCCGGCCUGAGAGGGUGACCGGCACACUGGGACUGAGAGACGGCCCAGACUCCUACGGGAGGCAGCAGUGGGGAAUAUUGCACAAUGGGCGCAAGCCUGAUGCAGCGACGCCGCGUGAGGGAUGACGGCCUUCGGGUUGUAAACCUCUUUCAGCACCGACGAAGCGCAAGUGACGGUAGGUGCAGAAGAAGGACCGGCCAACUACGUGCCAGCCGCCGCCGUAA
rnacentral:rRNA from 1 species